GACGAACGCUGGCGGCGUGCCUAACACAUGCAAGUCGAACGGAACUGUUUUGAAAGCUUUCUUCGGAAUGAAUUUGAUUUAGUUUAGUGGCGGACGGGUGAGUAACGCGUGAGUAACCUGCCUUCAAGAGGGGAAUAACAUUCUGAAAAGAAUGCUAAUACCGCAUGACAUAUCGGAACCACAUGGUUUUGAUAUCAAAGAUUUUAUCGCUUGAAGAUGGACUCGCGUCCGAUUAGUUAGUUGGUGAGGUAACGGCUCACCAAGACCGCGAUCGGUAGCCGGACUGAGAGGUUGAACGGCCACAUUGGGACUGAGACACGGCCCAGACUCCUACGGGAGGCAGCAGGGGGGGAUAUUGCGCAAUGGGGGCAACCCUGACGCAGCAACGCCGCGUGAAGGAUGAAGGUUUUCGGAUUGUAAACUUCUUUUAUUAAGGACGAAAAAUGACGGUACUUAAUGAAUAAGCGCCGGCUAACUACGUG
rnacentral:rRNA from 1 species